AGGGAGGAGACUGCAGAGAAAUGGUAAACAUAUACGCAGGGGAUUUUCUUAGAAUCACACACAUGAUGUACUCCUCCCUUGAGAUGGGCUGGCACUGUUGGAAAGAUGAAGGUGACACAGCAUUAUGGAAAAUGUUAAUUCUAAUUAUCAUCACCAUGUAUCACAUCGUGUGCUUGUGACGCAGAAGUAUUUGUGAUAGUAUUAGUGGUAUUAGUGAUAACAAUCCCAGACACUGUAGAGCAGCUGAGACCGCAUCAGAACAGAAAACCUACUGAAAACUAUUCAUUUAGUGCAACACUCACCUGUAGGAUUGUGUUAAAACGACACAAUUAUUAAUUUAUUUCACACUCCUUCAGAAAAACGGAGGAAACAGUGCCACUCGUGUAGAAAUGGCAUCGACUUGUGGUUUGAGUGUGAUGACGCCGUGGAUUCCCUCUGCAUGUCAGACAUACGUAACAAAAGGCGAGUGACGAAAGGUGUUUGUUUUUCUUUUCGGCGAGUAGGUUAACGGAGUCAUGGUACUCUCUCUAGCGGUCGUCACCAGACGCUGGGCCAGAAAAGGGGGCUGGGACUCUUCUUGGUUCACACUGUGUCAGGGGAUUCCUUCCCACGCUGCUUUUCAUUCACGUGGAAUGUCCACUUAUCAAAGAGUAAUGAAUCACAGCAUGUGAUUUGUUGAACUAAUGUUUGUUGAGCAACAUUGGCAUUUUAAACUAAAUGAUUGAUUUGAUGAUUUAAAAUGGUUUUGUCCGCAUGCGAGAACUCCACAACCUGUGAAUAUACUUUGUCAAGGUUCUGUUUGAGUUUGAAUCAGCUGCGGUGUUUUCGGCAGUGAAUAGGUGUGAUAUCAUGACUAGCAGCCAAGAAAUGCAAACGUGUGAAAUAAACAGGCGACAGACAAUGUUAUUAAAUAGUAAUAACAGUAAUGAGAAAGUAUGAAUAAAAACAAGCCUGACGCAAUAUGCAGUAUGAUAAAUAUGACUGAUAUGAUUAACCAGGAUGAAGUCACUGACGGCCCGUUGAUUUAAAAAUAUAAGUGGAGAAGAAGAAGAAGAUGCAGAGACUGGGUUCAUGCUCUUUGAACCAGCAGUGAAUAAUGAAGCUACGUGUUCAUCUGUAAAUACUUAGAGCAUCUUCAUCUUUUGUCUAUAUGUAUACAUGUAAAUAUACUUCAUACUUUUCUAUAUGAACGCUUAUAUGUGAAAAUGAUGAGUCAGCGUUGAGCCACUUAUGGGAAACUCCUUUAACUUUGCUCUUUUACUCGGUUCGUCUCUUUGCUCUUUAUGAUCUAGUGACUCUGUGUGGUUGCACGGCUGGUUUUUCAAGAUGCUGCCUAUUCCUAGUGAGUGUGUGUGUGUGUGUGUGUGUGUGUGUGUGUGUGCGUGUGUGUGUGUGUGUGUGUGUGUGUGUGUGUGUGUGUGUGUGUGUGUGUGUGUGUGUGUGUGUGUGUGUGUGUGAUGUCUUUUCUGACUGCAUGAACCCUUCAGCCUCUUGUUCCCGUUCAGUUUACCACAAGUGACCACCGGACAAACUGUGAAGUGCCAAGUUAGCAUCACACCAUCAAGUCUUUCUGAACACAGCUAUUCAAAGAAAACAAGUGUUGUGAAAGCAUGAAUGAUUCAUGUUGAGCUGUUGCAAUACCGUAUUUUAGUCAUAUUAAGUCAGUCUGGUCUCUAUCAAUAAAGCAUAUAGUAGCAAACAGACUUUAUUUAGCUCCAUUUCCGAGGCUUUAUUUGCAUUUCGCUUGAGAAGGGAGGGUCUGAGUGUGAACUUCUUCUUCCCUGCUGUUCUGAUGUGACACUGUGUUUUUUAGGUCAGAAUUCUGACGUUGCAUUACAGUAACCUAGGUUUCAUGCUCUAACCGAUGUAAGUCCAGAGCGGGUGAGUCAAAGCACCUCCUACACGUGUCACACUGUCACAUCUGGAGACGCUCCGGGUGCGUGUGCUCCGCUGCCGUUUGCCCUCGGGCCUCACAUGACUCCACUAGCCAGCACUGAGCCGCGCCGCAGCACCGAAACCCGAAGGCUGAUGCACAUCCAGUCCGUCCAGCCCGCUGCUGGAGCGGCUUCAAAGUGUGCCAACGGGCGAUGCUGGCGCUGCAGCUGAACUUGCUGCACGUCUAACACGGAACGUGUCUCCGGCUUCUGCACCACAUAUUCUGGGUUUGCAUAGAUUGUGUCCGUGAAAUGUAUUUGCAACCGUCAUUUUAGAGGAAACCUGUCUGUCUUUACCAUUAGGUUCACCACAUUCCUCUUUCACUUUCACAGCAGUGCGUUUAACCGUGUGUGUUUGUUCGGGCUGACUCUUACAGAGUCUGUCUCUGUUAUUGUUUGUGACUCUUGGGAACAAAUUUGCCGGUCAGUAGGUGUUUCUGUGUCUUGACGUGUGCAUGGGCGUCGCAGCUGUGUGGAAACUGUGAGCCGUUCGGCCCAAGGUGACUACGCUCUCGUGACACUGACCAGCCACCAGUUGAUGCUCCCGUGAUGCUGGGCUGACUGGCGGGCGGAUGGCUUCGCCUUGACCAUUGUCGGCAACAGAGGAGCAGCGUUGCUCAUCUGUUUCAUCAGCGUUUCCUAUGAGACCCCGCCGGACGUCACGUACGCCUUCAGUCGUCCUCCCUGUUCAAACACCACGGCAAAUGUGAGCUGUCCUCCAACUCAGGCCUCAGCCACCUCCCCCUGUUGCAUAUCUCAGCAGCCACUGGUGGAUCUUUCCAUGCAACUGUAAUGACAAGAUGAACAUUUGAAAUGACAGCAAGCGAAUGCCUAAUACAUGUAGUCAAGUGUAAAAUCCCAUUACAAUGCUUAUGCUAAUCAAGCAUCUUUAUGGAAGCCUGAGCCUGCAGAUUCAGUGAUCAAUCCAUUCCAGCAAGGCGCUACUGUACAGAUGACAGGUGGGGACGAUCUGUCAUUUUAUUCUGUGUAUCUUUUUUAAUCUGUGUUUCGGUGCGUCUGCGUAAGCACAAAUGCGUAUGGACAUUCGCAUAUGUGCCUGCGAUGGUGUUAACCGCAGUUAUGUAAGCAUCGCUCAUUGUGACAGCUCAUAGUUUCCCAUGGGGUUAAAACAGCUUUGUGCUGAAUUAGGAAAAGUAAAAAUUAACACUGGUGCAAUUUGAAUGAUGAAUCACAGUUUCGCAGAUUUUUAUUGACAUCCUAAUUCGGUCCCUGCCCUGCUGAUGUGAAACGGAGUCCAGUCAGCACCCUGCUGCUGCCGCUGCACUUUGCAUCUCCUCCCCUGUUGACCCCUGCAACCUCUACUACACAAAGGUCAUCAAGUGAUCCCUUUGUAGAAUAAAUCCAGAGGAUUUGCGCUACUAAAACCAAAUUGGAGACCAGAGAGAUGGUGAAGAAAAGACAACAGAACAAGAGCGUCAUCCUUCCUUCGUUGUGCAACUGAAUUUAAGAGGAAGAACUGAUUAGUAAGUUUAGUAAGUUUUUAUGAAGGUGGUUAAAGCCAUUAUUAUUGUUAUUUCUGUCUUGACAGUUGAAUCAACAGUCACAUGUGUAACAAACUCAAACUCUCAGCCAUUGGUCAUGUGAACUUCCUGUUUUGUUUUUCAUCCACUUCCUGUUGAAGUGUAAAGUUCACGCCGUGAACUGUUAACUGUACUGUAUCAGGUUUUGUUAAAAGGCCAUGAUAUGGUGUAAAAUAUCAGUUUAAAAUAUUGCUGGAGAACAAGAAUCUAGGAACGCUUAUAGUAGAUGAGUCAGAAACCCUUUUAACUUUGCUCAUUAUAAAAACAAUGCUUAUGCUAAUCACGCAUCUUCAUGGAAGCAGGCGAGUCUUCGAAAUCUGGAUCUGGACAUUGAUUCUCAUCCAUCGUGUGUGAUCACAUUCCUCUGGACCUGCAGAUUCAAUGAUCCAUUCAAUCCAUUCCAGCGAGUUGCUACUGUAUAGACGACAUUUGUCAUUUUAUUCUGUGUAUCUUUUUGAAUCUGUGUUUCGUUGCGUCUCUUUAAGCGCACAGAUGCGUAUGGACAUUCGCAUAUGAACCUGCGAUGGUUCCUGCUUUGUGCUGAAUUACGAAAAGGAAAAAAUAACACUUGUGCAAUUUGAAUGAUGAAUCACAGUUUUCACAGAUUUUUAUUGACAUCCGAAUUCGGUUCCUGCCCUACUGCUGAACUGUACUGUAUCAAAUUUUGUUGAAAAGCCAUGUUACGGUGUACUUUGCAAGUUUUAACGGUGUCUGUACUUGAAUGUUUUAAAUACAAUAUUGUAUUUUUAGACAGUUCAGUCUUAUGUGACAUUAUUAUUUGCAAUAUUUAAAAAAAACUUCCCUAUUUUGUAACAACUGGGUCUGGUGUAUUCAGUUAAUAUUUACAGUAUAUUAUUAUUAUAGGUUUAAUUCAUAUAUAUAAGUGAAUAUAAUUUACUAAUCAAUAAAAUAUGAGUUGCAAAAUAUUGCUGGAGAACAAGAAUCUAUGAAUGCUUAGAUGUGAAAAUGAUAAGUCAGAAACUCUUUUAACUUUGCUCUUUGACUCGUUUCGUUUUUUUUCCUGCUCAGUGUACCACAAAUGACCACAGAAAAUUAAAUUAAUUAAAUCAAUUAAA